GCUUUUUAUCUGGUAAAAUGUUACACUUCCUCAGCUGUAACUGAAUAUACGACAUCUUAAAUCAUCAGGAGCACUCCCUUUUAAAAAUCAGAUCAAAGCAACCACAAACAAUUGAAGACUGACUUCCAAAUGCAGCAAGCUCCAUAGAGUAGUAUGGAGUGGCAGUGGGUGUGCUCUUGGUAUUUCUGUAGGCUUCUCAAGUAGAUCAUCUUCCAGUCGUGUAAAGGGGCUUCAGACUGCCUUCCCAGCUGCCUCCUGGCAGGGAACUGGCAUUGCCCUUCCAGAUGGGGAGGUGUCUCCGUAACCUGCCAGCAUGUCUCAUCCGUUCCCAGGCGGGUAAUUUGCCUACCGCUGUUGGUCCUUGGCUUCAUGCGCAUUCCGACACGUGACACGUGGAGCAGGCAUUGCUCUUCCUCCUGAGCAGUAUAACCGAGGCCUGAAGAACCUGAAGUCUGGAGCUGUAGGCCUCUCUGCCCCAGGAGGAAGCAGGCCGGUGGGAGCUGCUGCUGUGACUAAGUCAGGACUGAGUCCCUGGGGACGCAGUCGGAGCACUCCUGCACCUGAGGUAUAAAUGCUGGCUUGUAAGCCAUGGAGCACUGCACUGAUAAUGUGGGCUACUGGAUGAAGAAGACAGGAACCUUUAACAUUUUCAUGAAGACCAGCAGGGGUUUUGAGCGAAUCUACAGACUUCUGGGACUUUUCUGCUUAUACAAAACUGAAAAGUUCAUUAAAGAAUUCAAUUAAAAGGGUCAUUUAUUUUAUGCAACAUGAUUUAAGGUAUAUUAUUUUGGUCGUUUUAAUUAUCAAAUGGGAUCUUUUUUAAAACUUCAAAAUUAAUAGUUGAAUGCUUAAUUAUCUAAAUAGUAUUGGAAAACUUGUUUCCUGUAAUUUUGAAAUUACAUAUUGCUUUCUUGCCAGUUUGUGUUUCUCUUAUCUUCCAUAGUCAUGGACUCUGCUGUGCUUUGUACCGUAGUUCUUCAAAGUGUAGACUUUGAUUUCCUGUAUGCUUGCAUAUUUAUAUUUUCAACUUUGCUUGUUCUUAAAAUUGCUUGAGGAAAAAUGGUUAUAAUUUCUGCUGUAGAUGAGCCACCUGGUAUACUUUACCUUGUCAAGGUUGCUUGCAGUUUGAAGCUACAGCUUAGUUGAGAAGGGCUUUGCAUGGGACCAAGGAGCCAUCCCAGUGACAGUCGUUACAGAGGCUGUGGCCCAGCCAGCUUGGCCUCUGACGUGCAUGGCUGGAUGUCUCCCACGCCUUCCCAGUUAUUCUGUGGAUAGGCAGCGUGGCCUGUGAAGACAGGACUUGCUCGCUUCCAGAAGCUUGAGUUCUGGUAUGCACCUCGAUGCGUCUGUGGCUCCGCUUACGUUCUGAGAGGGCGCUUGUCACACAAAGAUAAAUAAUGUUGACAUCACAAAUCCUUGUACUAGUGAAAUGUCAGAUCAAAUAAUUUGAAUAACUGUUUUGUAUUAAAGGGAUGGGCAAAGAACACAUGAGUUGUUAAUAAAGCACUAUGAUAUGCAAAAAUGGAACGUUUCAUAAAGAUAUAUAAUAAGGGAAAACUGAAAGCAGGACAAUCUUUAAACUUUUAGUUACAUAGCAGUUCUGAAAUACUAUGACCAGUUUUUAAUUUUUGUGGUAAUGUACAAACAUGACAUCCCAGAAUAUGUAUUUUGAUGCCAACACAACAGUGAAAUACAGAUAUAUUUUAAGCAGCUCUAAUAAAGAUUAAAAACGCAGA